GACGAACGCUGGCGGCGUGCUUAACACAUGCAAGUCGAACGGAAAGGCCCUGCUUUUGUGGUGUGCUCGAGUGGCGAACGGGUGAGUAACACGUGAGUAACCUGCCCUUGACUUUGGGAUAACUUCAGGAAACGGGGGCUAAUACCGGAUAGGAGCUCCUGCUGCAUGGUGGGGGUGGGAAAGUUUCGGCGGUUGGGGAUGGACUCGCGGCUUAUCAGCUUGUUGGUGGGGUAGUGGCUUACCAAGGCUUUGACGGGUAGCCGGCCUGAGAGGGUGACCGGCCACAUUGGGACUGAGAUACGGCCCAGACUCCUACGGGAGGCAGCAGUGGGGAAUAUUGCACAAUGGGCGGAAGCCUGAUGCAGCAACGCCGCGUGCGGGAUGACGGCCUUCGGGUUGUAAACCGCUUUCGCCUGUGACGAAGCGUGAGUGACGGUAAUGGGUAAAGAAGCACCGGCUAACUACGUG
rnacentral:rRNA from 1 species